AAUCAAAGAAAUAGGAAAGAUAUAUAUAGUACACACACACACACACACACACACACACACACACACACACACACACACACACACACAAUUAGCAAGAUAUGAGAUAAGACUAUGUUUGCGCAAACAAUCUAGAUGAACCUUGAAAGAUAAACAUGAUAAUUUGAUAAUAAGACAGAACAUUGGUGAAAGCUUGACACACACACACAAACACACACACACACACACUUUAAACUAAUUUUCAUCAUUUCAGACAGUCUCCGUGCGGCCUCGUCUUUCCCAAUACCGCCGACAAACACCACAUGAUGAGGCUCCCCCAGCACCCAGCAGAACACCCGGGAGGAGUUCAGGGCACAUCCACCUGCAGUAUAUUCCACAGGGUACCUGAAGGGGUGGGUGAAGAAGGAGCAGUUUACGGUGUAGAAUUCUCGUCACGGAAGCUUUCUAAAAAACUCCAGUAACUUCACUAUGGUCUGUUAAUAGUGCGGAAUGCUUGUUAAAUUGUCACUAUAACCACGAAAACUUCCUUAAAAACCCCAGUAACUUCACUAUCGUCUGUUAAUAGUGCGGAAUGCUUGUUAAAUUGUCACUAUAACCACGAAAACUUCCUUGAAAAAACCCAAUAACUUCACUAUCGUCUGUUAAUAGUGUGGAAUGCUUAUUAAAUUGUCACUA